GGGGCUGUGGCGUAGCGGGAGAGCAUCUGCUUUGCACUCAAAAGGUCACAGGUUUGAUCCCAGGCAACUCCA
rnacentral:tRNA from 1 species